rnacentral:rRNA from 1 species
GACGAACGCUGGCGGCGUGCUUAACACAUGCAAGUCGAACGGAAAGGCCCUGCUUUUGUGGGGUGCUCGAGUGGCGAACGGGUGAGUAACACGUGAGUAACCUGCCCUUGACUUUGGGAUAACUUCAGGAAACUGGGGCUAAUACCGGAUAGGAGCUCCUGCUGCAUGUUGGGGGUUGGAAAUUUUCGGCGGUUGGGGAUGGACUCGCGGCUUAUCAGCUUGUUGGUGGGGUAGUGGCUUACCAAGGCUUUGACGGGUAGCCGGCCUGAGAGGGUGACCGGCCACAUUGGGACUGAGAUACGGCCUAGACUCCUACGGGAGGCAGCAGUGGGGAAUAUUGCACAAUGGGCGGAAGCCUGAUGCAGCAACGCCGCGUGCGGGAGGACGGCCUUCGGGUGGUAAACCGCUUUCGCCUGUGACGAAGCGUGAGUGACGGUAAUGGGUAAAGAAGCACCGGCUAACUACGUG